UGGGAAUUAAAACUGCUCACACUCAGUUCUGCCGGACAGUGGAACUACAAUGGCCACAGAAACAUCCUAUAAUGUGGAAUAAACUGAAGGAAGAUAUAGGCAUAUCCACCAUUGGCUUCCAAACUUGUGACGGAGACAGACCCAAAGAUUCACCUAAGAGCACCAGUUAUGAGUGGGUGCAACUCACACACGACUGUUGCUGAAAGCUCAGGAGCAGGAUGGAAACAUGUCUCAUGUCCAGGGAGGGGCAGUCGCAGGGUUUACCAGUGACCAGCCAGGUGCAGAACCACAUCCAGGGGACGCUGCGGAUAACAAGAGAUACACCGUGGAAGCGGCAGCCACAGCCGGAGGAUGUGUGACAGCGACAGCAAGAGCUCACUGCUGGAGGGAGUGGCAGUGGGGUGAAGGCAGCAUCCACCGCACCUCCCCUGCCCAAGCACGGGACCCAGGGCUUAGUCCCUGGUUCCUGGAGGAGCUGGCGGCUGAGUGGGGAAAGAGGAGUUUUACUGAGUCCAGGCAGGGUCUGUAGAGUUCCCACACACUGGGCUGGCUGGAGGGAGCUGGGACCCCACAGGAAGCAGCCAGAGGAGCAGGAACAGGGGUUUCUGAAGGACACUGUCAGAGCCACUUAAUCCCUGCCAAUGGUACAGAGCUGAACCCAGCACACCUCUCUCCUGGCUCUCCUGCCCCCCCCCCCCCCGUGACUCAGGGACUCAUUACCAUUUCUUCCAACCUUCCCUACCUGUGUCCCAUCUGUCCCCUGUGGUGCUGGACUUUGGAAAGAUCAGGUUCUCAGCCAGUUGGACCCAAUGCUCUGGUGAUGGACGCUCUAUAAAUACCCCCAGCAGAGGGCUGACAGACACCCUGUCCCUGACAGACACCGAGGCCUGCUGGAGUCCAAUGAGCCCCGGCGGGGCCGGUGCUGCUGGGGCAGGAAGCACACACAAUGGCAGUGGGAGGAGACUGUGCCCGGACCUGCCCCUGCCCCCUCUCUGUGGCCUGGUUCUCCUUGCCUGCCUGUCUGAGUGGCUCAGAGCGAUGAUC